rnacentral:misc_RNA from 1 species
UUUCCGUAGGUGAACCUGCGGAAGGAUCAUUCAUAAUAAAGUGUUUUAUGGCACUUUUUAAAAAUCCAUAUCCACCUUGUGUGCAAUGUUAGAUCUCGUCAAUCUUGGCGAGAUUUUUAUACUUCAACUCAUUCUUUAACUAAUUUGUCUGAAAAAUAUUAUGAAUACUUAAUUCAAAAUACAACUUUCAACAACGGAUCUCUUGGCUCUC